rnacentral:rRNA from 1 species
CCUACGGGUGGCAGCAGUGAGGAAUAUUGGUCAAUGGACGAGAGUCUGAACCAGCCAAGUAGCGUGAAGGAUGACUGCCCUAUGGGUUGUAAACUUCUUUUAUAUGGGAAUAAAAUGUUCCACGUGUGGGAUUUUGUAUGUACCAUAUGAAUAAGGAUCGGCUAACUCCGUGCCAGCAGCCGCGGUAAUACGGAGGGUCCGAGCGUUAUCCGGAUUUAUUGGGUUUAAAGGGAGCGUAGGUGGAUUGUUAAGUCAGUUGUGAAAGUUUGCGGCUCAACCGUAAAAUUGCAUUUGAAACUGGCAGUCUUGAGUACAGUAGAGGUGGGCGGAAUUCGUGGUGUAGCGGUGAAAUGCUUAGAUAUCACGAAGAACUCCGAUUGCGAAGGCAGUUCACUGGACUGCAACUGACACUGAGGCUCGAAAGUGUGGGUAUCAAACAGGAUUAGAUACCCCAGUAGUC